GGAGCAGGAGCUUUGGCUCUCAGGGUCUGGGGGACGUCAGGAGAGGAACCGUCUGCUUGUGUCUGCCCCUAGCACGACAGCACCCUUCUGGCCUUGUACGGGGCCCUGGGCCUCUAUGACGGGCACACCCCACCCUAUGCUGCCUGCCUUGGCUUUGAGUUCCGGAGCUGCGCUGGGGACCCGGAGGAAGACGGAGCCGGAGGGAACAUCACCGUCUCCCUCUUCUACCGCAACGACACCAACCGCCCGCCCCUGUCCCUCAGCGUCCCCGGGUGCCCAGCCCCCUGCCCGCUAGGGCGCUUCCGCCAGCUGACUGCUCCGGCCCGGCCUCCCGCCCGUGGGGCCGCCUGCCAUGGCUCCCAUAGGCCUGCCGCUGCCCCAGCCACCACAGUGCCCCUGCUGGCCGGAGCUGUGGCCGUGCUGGCGGUGCUGAGCCUGGGCCUGGGCCUCCUGGCCUGGAGACCCGGCUGCCUGCGAGCCCUGGGGGGGUGCAGUGUGAGCGGGAAUGGGGCAGCCCCUCCCCCGCAGACGCUGGCCCCAACACGCGUGCUCACCUUCUGUGCUGGCUUGUCACUGUCUGUGCGCGUGCGGGGAGGGAGCUGGGCGGGAGCCCCGGCCGGUGCGCAUGCGUGGACCUUCGCAGAUGUUUGCGUUCACAACUCUGGAGCCAGUAUGUACACGUGUGUGUGAUGUGCAUUUCUGUACUACUGUGGGAGCCAUGUCCCUAACGCAGCACCUUUAGCAGAGCUAAGCCUGUAACCCAGCAGGGAGCCAGGCAGGGACCAGGUGGUUGCUCAGGGGUGCCCGUGGGAGGAGCUGCCAUUACGGGGUGGGGGGGGAGAGCAUGCACCUCCCCUUCGCUGGGCAGUCACUGACCAGUGACCAUGCCUGCUGACAGACUGAAAGCCAUGCAAGCUCAGGUCCCCUUGACAAUGCUGGUGAGGACAGUAUUGCAGUAGCUGCUUGUAAGCCAGGUCCUGCACUGAGCCUGCACCUGAGGGUGCAGGCAGUGGGGGCCGGGGCAGGCAGGCGGCCUAGCAGGAUGCAGACUGGCCCCACAGGUGGCUGGGCUGGUCCCUGUGGCAGGCCCAGGGCUUGGCCUCUUGCCCGACUGGCUACCACAGGCCCACCCUUCCUCAUCAGACUGCUGGAGAGCUGGGCCCCAAGGUGGGCCAGCCCGUGCACCCCCGCCCUGGACCAGCGUCCCACCCGGACCACGCCACCCACCUCGGCUCAGGAAGGGCGCUGCACCUGCCACUUAAUGGCGCCUGUGGCUAGCAGAGUCCUCGGAACCCUGCUCAUACGGAUGCCCCUCAACCCAGACCCCCAGGCGCUGGCCUGUGGCCAUGGGGGCAGCCAAAGCCACCGGAGUACUUGGGAGGGAUCAGUGGGCGCCCCCAGGCCAGCACACCGAAAGCACACUCUGAGAGGGAGGGCAACUGCCCACAGGAAAAAGCCAGCCAGAAAGCCAGUCAGGGCCACGAGGGGGACAUGACUGCUAAAACCAAAGUGUCACACACGCC
rnacentral:lncRNA from 1 species